rnacentral:rRNA from 1 species
CUGGCUCAGGACGAACGCUGGCGGCGUGCCUAAUACAUGCAAGUCGAGCGGACAGAUGGGAGCUUGCUCCCUGAUGUUAGCGGCGGACGGGUGAGUAACACGUGGG